rnacentral:rRNA from 1 species
CAGUCGCCACGGUAAUAUGAAGGGGGCUAGCGUUGUUCGGAAUUACUGGGCGUAAAGCGCACGUAGGCGGAUACUUAAGUUAGGGGUGAAAUCCCAGGGCUCAACCCUGGAACUGCCUUUAAUACUGGGUAUCUUGAGUUCGAGAGAGGUAAGUGGAAUUCCGAGUGUAGAGGUGAAAUUCGUAGAUAUUCGGAGGAACACCAGUGGCGAAGGCGGCUUACUGGCUCGAUACUGACGCUGAGGUGCGAAAGCGUGGGGAGCAAACAGGAUUAGAGACCCCUGUAGUCCCUGUCUCUUAUAC